AAAGCAUGGUGAGGGCAUUAAGUUAAUAGAUUAUUGAACCUUUUCCAUGCCUUAGAAAAUUACUUAUCAAGUUGCUGUUUGAAUUGCAUGAUUUUGUCCCUGAGAGC